rnacentral:tRNA from 1 species
GGUUCUAUGGUGUAAUGGUUAGACUUCAGACUCUGACUCUGACAAUCUGAGUUCAAAUCUCAGUAGGACCU